UCAAAAGCUGCUGGGUCUGGCUGGACAGCCAGACCCAAAUCGCUUCCAAUUGGUGCUGGGUUUGGCUGCUCAGCCAGACCCAGCAGCUUUUGGCA
rnacentral:pre_miRNA from 13 species